rnacentral:rRNA from 1 species
GAACGGGUGAGUAACACGUGGGUAACCUGCCCAUCAGAAGGGGAUAACACUUGGAAACAGGUGCUAAUACCGUAUAACAAUCAAAACCGCAUGGUUUUGAUUUGAAAGGCGCUUUCGGGUGUCGCUGAUGGAUGGACCCGCGGUGCAUUAGCUAGUUGGUGAGGUAACGGCUCACCAAGGCCACGAUGCAUAGCCGACCUGAGAGGGUGAUCGGCCACAUUGGGACUGAGACACGGCCCAAACUCCUACGGGAGGCAGCAGUAGGGAAUCUUCGGCAAUGGACGAAAGUCUGACCGAGCAACGCCGCGUGAGUGAAGAAGGUUUUCGGAUCGUAAAACUCUGUUGUUAGAGAAGAACAAGGAUGAGAGUAACUGUUCAUCCCUUGACGGUAUCUAACCAGAAAGCCACGGCUAACUACGUGCCAGCAGCCGCGGUAAUACGUAGGUGGCAAGCGUUGUCCGGAUUUAUUGGGCGUAAAGCGAGCGCAGGCGGUUUCUUAAGUCUGAUGUGAAAGCCCCCGGCUCAACCGGGGAGGGUCAUUGGAAACUGGGAGACUUGAGUGCAGAAGAGGAGAGUGGAAUUCCAUGUGUAGCGGUGAAAUGCGUAGAUAUAUGGAGGAACACCAGUGGCGAACGCGGCUCUCUGGUGUG